AGCAGCCGCGGUAAUUCCAGCUCCAAUAGCGUAUAUUAAAGUUGUUGCAGUUAAAAAUCUCGUAGUUGAAUUUCGGGAUUGACACAUCGGUCGUGCCUUAAGGGGUAUGAACUGGUGUAGUCAAUUUCUCACCUUCUGGAGAACCGCGAUGUCCUUAAUUGGGUGCCGCGAGGAACCAGGACCUUUACUUUGAAAAAAUUAGAGUGUUUAAAGCAGGCAUUUUUGCUUGAAUACAUUAGCAUGGAAUAAUAAAAUAGGACGGCAUGAUUCUAUUUUGUUGGUUUCUAGGAUCACCGUAAUGAUUAAUAGGGAUAGUUGGGGGCAUUAGUAUUCAAUUGUCAGAGGUGAAAUUCUUGGAUUUAUUGAAGACUAACUACUGCGAAAGCAUUUGCCAAGGAUGUUUUCAUUAAUCAAGAACGAAAGUUAGGGGAUCGAAGACGAUCAGAUACCGUCGUAGUCUUAACCAUAAACUAUGCCGACUAGGGAUCGGACGAAGUUAAUUUUAUAAUGACGCGUUCGGCACCUUACG
rnacentral:rRNA from 1 species